rnacentral:rRNA from 1 species
UACGGGGGGAGCAAGCGUUGUUCGGAUUUACUGGGCGUAAAGGGCGCGUAGGCGGCCAGCACAAGUCAGUUGUGAAAUCUCCGAGCUUAACUCGGAAAGGUCAACUGAUACUGUGCGGCUAGAGUGCGGAAGGGGCAACUGGAAUUCUUGGUGUAGCGGUGAAAUGCGUAGAUAUCAGGAAGAACACCGGUGGCGAAAGCGCUCUGGCCGAAGACUGACGCUGAAGCGCGAAAGCUGGGGGAGCGAACGGG